AGCGAAGCUGACGGAGCAACGCCGCGUGAGGGAUGAAGGCCUCUGGGCUGUAAACCUCUUUAUCAAGGAAGAGAUCUGACGGUACUGAUGAAUAAGCCACGGCUAAUUCCGUGCCCAGCAGCCGCGGUAAUACGGGAGUGGCAAGCGUUAUCCGGAAUUAUUGGGCGUAAAGCGUCCGCAGGCGGCCCUUACAAGUCUGCUGUUAAAAAGUGGAGCUUAACUCCCAUUCAAUGGCAGUGGAAACUGUUGGGCUUGAGUGUGGUAGGGGCAGAGGGAAUUCCCGGUGUAGCGGUGAAAUGCGUAGAUAUCGGGAAGAACACCAGUGGCGAAGGCGCUCUGCUGGGCCAUCACUGACGCUCAUGGACGAAAGCCAGGGGAGCGAAAGGGAUUAGAUACCCCUGUAGUCCUGGCCGUAAACGAUGAACACUAGGUGUCGGGGGAAUCGACCCCUCCGGUGUCGUAGCCAACGCGUUAAGUGUUCCGCCUGGGGAGUACGCACGCAAGUGUGAAACUCAAAGGAAUUGACGGGGGCCCGCACAAGCGGUGGAGUAUGUGGUUUAAUUCGAUGCAACGCGAAGAACCUUACCAGGGUUUGACAUCCUGCGAAUCUCUUGGAAACUUGAGAGUGCCUUCGGGAACGCAGUGACAGGUGGUGCAUGGCUGUCGUCAGCUCGUGUCGUGAGAUGUUGGGUUAAGUCCCGCAACGAGCGCAACCCACGUCUUUAGUUGCCAGCAUUUAGUUGGGCACUCUAGAGAGACCGCCGGUGAUAAACCGGAGGAAGGUGUGGAUGACGUCAAGUCAUCAUGCCCCUUACAUCCUGGGCUACACACGUACUACAAUGCUACGGACAAAGGGCAGCAAGUUCGCGAGGACAAGCAAAUCCCAUAAACCGUGGCUCAGUUCAGAUCGUAGGCUGCAACUCGCCUACGUGAAGGAGGAAUCGCUAGUAAUCGCAGGUCAGCAUACUGCGGUGAAUACGUUCCCGGGCCUGUACA
rnacentral:rRNA from 1 species